rnacentral:lncRNA from 1 species
GUAGAAUUGACAUAUAACAACAUAUAUAAGGAUAAUACCAAAAUUUUUCCUCAAUUUGACACUUUUUAUAUAUUGUUGUUGACACGCUAAAAGUGCAGCCCAAAUCGAAUAGCUCAAAGAAUGAAACACAACUGAGCAAUUCAGGAUAAAGGCUUAAAUAGGGUUACUAAUGAAUGCAGUAGAAGCUCACGAAUGUAGUAACACCAUCGUCCAAACUUGCAAAACGCCCAAGAUCUGAGCGAAUGAAGUGCCUUGCAGUCGCCCAGGAUUAUGACCCUGUUCUCGCCCAAACCUUCGAAUCGCUCAGGAUCUUAGCAAACAUAAGAUGUUAUGGUUAUUCAAAAGUGCAGUUAGCGAAGUAGUUAUUAAUCUUAUCACGUUCCACGAUUCAAGGAUGUUCAGUUGAAGGCGGUUGAACGACAAAGAGUAGUGGCAGCAGUUAGAGACGGUAGUUCCACGAUAAGUUAGCCACUAUGAAGAAAGUGGGCAGUUAUAAAGCAAUUAAGCAGUUUCUAAGCGGUUGAUCACGAAGAGAUCAUCAAUGGAAUAUAAAAAGAAGAAAAGACAGAGCAAAAUGACCCUGAAUCAAAAACUCUCAAACAGAGAAUAUGUAAUUUCAAUUUCUUAGUUUAGACUUAAACAUUUUUUUUCAGUACUCGUGUGCUUGCGCCCCUUGGAGGCAUUCUGUUUAAGUUCCAAUUGUAAAGUCAUCGCCAAUAAAACACCCAUUUUUGGGACGUUGUCUCAAGAGGUUUGUUCCUUACACAAUCGUCUGAUCCCUUUUUAAUUGUUAGCGACUACCCGCGCGAAACAAUUUGGCACGCCCAGUGAGACCUUGGUGUUUGAUGUUGAACAUACAAAAGGUGAAACAAUAUGUUUCAGAAAUCCGAUAAGGAAGCAGCAAGCCAGGGAGGAGUCCAAUCCGUGAUCGAGCGAUAUGAAAAGCACAUAGCUCUCCACGAACAAAUGGACAGAAUCAGAGCAAUCAUAGUCAUUACGAACCAAUGACAGAGUUGAGUCCUCGAACCAUGCGUGCAUUACUUGGAGAACUCACAAAAGAUGUCGUUGAACAGGUAAAUCUAUGAAGUAUUCAUAAUAUGGAAAGAUUUACCCAAAAUGAGAAUGCACAUUAUGACAACAUGGCCAAACAAUUGAAUACUUUGAAUGAAAUAAUGAAUAAGUUAGUAGGCCAAAUUUGUCAGCCAGUUGUGCCUCUUGCAAACCACUUUCAAACUAAAACAAUUGUGGGACAUAAUCCCCCAGUCCUAAGUUUAAAUCAAGCGGUAGAACCAUCUUUUGAUCCCUCUACUUCAAACCAGGGGGUGGUGUAAUACCAAAUCAGAAUAGUGGCAUUGGUACAUCUAACUUGGGGGUAACCUAAAUGUAAGAGAUAAUGUCCUAAAUAAUGGACAGAAUACCCCACGUGUUAAUUAUGGAAUAAAUGUUUAUAAUAAUAGCCCAAAUCAUGGCAACUUUGUUGCCAACCAAGGACCAAAUAUCAGGCCUCAAGCAAAUCAACCGGUCAACCAACCUGUAGGAAUUCCAUAUGACCCCAACAUCAUGUUGAGGAAUCAGAUUAUGGAAAUCGUACAGGACCAGAUGGCUUUUGGAGUACGUCCUGUAAUUAGGCCGACUUACACAAAGCCAUUUUCUGAUUGGGUAGACCAAGCAUAUCCAUGGCCCAGAGGGUAUAAAGUGCAGAAUUCUCACUGUUUAUUGGUUUAGGAGAGGUGUCUACUCUAGAACACAUAGGGCGAUUCACAUUGCAAAGUAGUGACGUGACUGAUUACCAUAAAAUAAAGUUGUUCCCUAGUUCAUUAACAGGAGUAGCCUUCUCCUUGUUCAUCAAUUUGCCAGCAAACUCUGUUCAAACAUGGCAACAAUUGGAGCGAUUGUUCCACGCUCAGUUUUAUAAGACCGAGUCUGAAGUUACUUUGACCGAUUUGACGAAUCUACGUCAAAUGCCAAACGAAUGGGCAGAAGGUUUCCUUCAAAGGUUCAAGACAGGAAGAAGUAAAUGUUUUGUACCUGUACCCGAAAAGGAGUUUGUCAAAAUCGCUCAAAGUUGUCUAAACUUUGGUUUGAAGAAGAAGUUUCAAGACAAGGAAUUUCCUGAUCUUUUCCAAUUGAGCGCGAACGUGAUUAGGUAUGAACGAUUAAUAAGAGAAGAAGAACAAAUGAAAAAUUCUAGCAAGGGGACUUAUUAUAAAGACCCAAAUUUUGAUGUUCAUACCAUUAAUAAUGAGUAUUACGAUCAAACCGAAAUGUAUUUGGUUGAAUUAGUUAAAGGAGGCACGUAUACUUGUCCUAUAAUGGCUAAAAGUCCAGACCGUCCGGCAAGGACGAGCCUAUAAAAGAUGAAAACAUAAAGGCUAGAACGUUCUCGUUCGAUGUAACCAAAGCUGACCUUAUAUUUGAUAAAUUAUAUAAGGAUAAGCAGAUAAAGCUGAGCGAUAAACAUAAAUUGCCAAGCCCUGAAUAAGUUAAGGGUAAAAAAUAUUGUAAGUGGCAUAAUGCAUGGUCACAUUUGACUAACAACUGUUUGGUUUUUCGCCAUGUGUUACAGGAUGCCAUUGAAUCAGGACAAAUUACGUUCGAGGAUAAGAGGAAGAUGGCAGUGGAUAAAAAUCCUUUUCCACAGCCACUUGGAGUGAACAUGGUGACGUCUGGUUUCAAAAAUAAGUUGCUAAAAUUCAAGUUGGUUAUAGAUGAAGGAGCCCAAAAAGGACGAAGACGUCCUAUGUGCAAAUGCAAAAAAGAAGUGAGUGCAAAUGCAGAGAAACUAGGGAUAUGGCAGCAUCACUAUCGCCCUAGUUUUUUUUUCCAAACGCUCAGCCUGGUAGAGGGGCGAGGUGCAUCGUUCUAUAAGGGACCGCCUUUUGAGAGGCAGUUCAGGCCAGUAAAUAAUGGGAGAACAUUCAGACCAUAACCUCGCCAACCAAAUGUAUGGCAUUCGUUCCAAUAUAAGGCUGGAAAGGCGAGACCUUUCAACG